rnacentral:rRNA from 1 species
UACGUAGGUGGCAAGCGUUGUCCGGAUUUACUGGGCGUAAAGGAUGCGUAGGCGGACAUUUAAGUCAGAUGUGAAAUACCCGAGCUUAACUUGGGUGCUGCAUUUGAAACUGGGUGUCUAGAGUGCAGGAGAGGUAAGUGGAAUUCCUAGUGUAGCGGUGAAAUGCGUAGAGAUUAGGAAGAACACCAGUGGCGAAGGCGACUUACUGGGCUGUAACUGACGCUGAGGCAUGAAAGCGUGGGGAGCAAACAGG